AUUGAACGCUGGCGGCAUGCUUUACACAUGCGAGUCGAACGGCAGCGCGGGCUUCGGCCUGGCGGCGAGUGGCGAACGGGUGAGUAAUACAUCGGAACGUGCCCAGUAGUGGGGGCUAGCUCGGCGAAAGCCGGAUUAAUACCGCAUACGACCUGAGGGUGAAAGCGGGGGAUCUUCGGACCUCGCGCUAUUGGAGCGGCCGAUGGCAGAUUAGCUAGUUGGUGGGGUAAAGGCCUACCAAGGCGACGAUCUGUAGCUGGUCUGAGAGGACGACCAGCCACACUGGGACUGAGACACGGCCCAGACUCCUACGGGAGGCAGCAGUGGGGAAUUUUGGACAAUGGGCGAAAGCCUGAUCCAGCAAUGCCGCGUGUGUGAUGAAGGCCUUCGGGUUGUAAAGCACUUUUGGCGGGAACGAAAAGGACUGUGCCAAUACCACGGUUCGAUGACGGUACCCGCAGAAUAAGCACCGGCUAACUACGUG
rnacentral:rRNA from 1 species